GACGAACGCUGGCGGCGUGCUUAACACAUGCAAGUCGAACGGUAAGGCUCCAGCUUGCUGGGGUACACGAGUGGCGAGCGGGUGAGUAACACGUGGGUGACCUGCCCUGCACUUCGGGAUAAGCCUGGGAAACUGGGUCUAAUACCGGAUAGGACCAUGGUGUGGAUACUGUGGUGGAAAGUUUUUUCGGUGUGGGAUGGGCCCGCGGCCUAUCAGCUUGUUGGUGGGGUAAUGGCCUACCAAGGCGGCGACGGGUAGCCGGCCUGAGAGGGUGGACGGCCACAUUGGGACUGAGACACGGCCCAGACUCCUACGGGAGGCAGCAGUGGGGAAUAUUGCACAAUGGGCGGAAGCCUGAUGCAGCGACGCCGCGUGGGGGAUGACGGCCUUCGGGUUGUAAACUCCUUUCACCAUCGACGAAGGGUUUCUGACGGUAGAUGGAGAAGAAGCACCGGCUAACUACGUG
rnacentral:rRNA from 1 species